rnacentral:rRNA from 1 species
GACGAACGCUGGCGGCGUGCUUAACACAUGCAAGUCGAACGCUGAAGCUCAGCUUGCUGGGUGGAUGAGUGGCGAACGGGUGAGUAACACGUGAGUAACCUGCCCUCUUCUUUGGGAUGACGCCCGGAAACGGGUGCUAAUACUGGAUAUUCACUGAUUCUCGCAUGGGGGUUGGUGGAAAGGUUUUUUCUGGUGGGGGAUGGGCUCGCGGCCUAUCAGCUUGUUGGUGGGGUGAUGGCCUACCAAGGCUUUGACGGGUAGCCGGCCUGAGAGGGUGACCGGUCACAUUGGGACUGAGAUACGGCCCAGACUCCUACGGGAGGCAGCAGUGGGGAAUAUUGCACAAUGGGCGAAAGCAUGAUGCAGCGACGCCGCGUGAGGGAUGGAGGCCUUCGGGGUGGAAACCUCUUUCGCUCAUGGUCAAGCCGCAGCUUUGGGUUGUGGUGAGGGUAGUGGGUAAAGAAGCGCCGGCUAACUACGUG